CAAUACUUAGUGGCAGACGGGUGAGUAACAUGUAGGUAUCUGCCCUUUGGCCUGGAAUAACACGAGGAAACUUGUGCUAAUACCGGAUAAGUCUUUACGGAGAAAGCUUUAUGCACCAUUGGAUGAGCCUGCACUUGAUUAGUUUGUUGGUGGGGUAAUGGCCUACCAAGACUGUGAUCAAUAGCUGAUUUGAGAGGAUGAUCAGCCACAUUGGGACUGAGACACGGCCCAAACUCCUACGGGAGGCAGCAGUGGGGAAUCUUGCACAAUGGAGGAAACUCUGAUGCAGCGAUGCCGCGUGAGUGAAGAAGGCCCUUGGGUUGUAAAGCUCUUUCGUCGGGGAAGAAAAUGACUGUACCCGAAUAAGAAGGUCCGGCUAACUUCGUGCCAGCAGCCGCGGUAAUACGAAGGGACCUAGCGUAGUUCGGAAUUACUGGGCUUAAAGAGUUCGUAGGUGGUUGAAAAAGUUAGUGGUGAAAUCCCAGAGCUUAACUCUGGAACUGCCAUUAAAACUUUUCAGCUAGAGUAUGAUAGAGGAAAGCAGAAUUUCUAGUGUAGUGGUGAAAUUCGUGGAUAUUAGAAAGAAUACCAAUUGCGAAGGCAGCUUUCUGGAUCAUUACUGACACUGAGGAACGAAAGCAUGGGUAGCGAAGAGGAUUAGAUACCCUCGUAGUCCAUGCCGUAAACGAUGUGUGUUAGACGUUGGAAAUUUAUUUUCAGUGUCGCAGGGAAACCGAUAAACACACCGCCUGGGGAGUACGACCGCAAGGUUAAAACUCAAAUGAAUUGACGGGGACCCGCACAA
rnacentral:rRNA from 1 species